GACGAACGCUGGCGGCGUGCUUAACACAUGCAAGUCGAACGGAAAGGCCCUGCUUGCCGGGUCCUCGAGUGGCGAACGGGUGAGUAACACGUGGGUGAUCUGCCCCUCACUUCGGGAUAAGCCUGUGGAACUGGGUAUAAUACCGGAUAGGAGCCAUUUUUAUGGUGAUGGUUGGAAAGUUUGUUCGGUUUAGGCUGAGCCGGCGGCCUAUGAGCUUGUUGGUGGGGUAAUGGCCUACCAAGGCGGCGACGGGUAGCCGGCCUGAGAGGGGGGACGGCCACCUUGGGACUGAGAUACGGCGCAGAAGCCUACGGGAGGCAGCAGUGGGGAAUAUUGCACAAUGGGCGCAAGCCUGAUGCAGAGACGCCGCGUGGGUGAUGACGGGCUUCGGGUUGUAAACUAGUUUCGCUAGGGACGAAGCUUUUUGUGACGGUACCUAGAUAAGAAGCACCGGCUAACUACGUG
rnacentral:rRNA from 1 species